AUGUGCACCAACUGACGGGACAGUGGGAUGGAAGCUUGAACUCUGUGCCCUUCCAAAGAGUGAUGCAGUAUGUUCAGGGGCUGGAGAAGCUCCAACAACAGAAGGAUCAACUGGAGGCAUUGGAGGAAGAGGAGGAUAUGCAGAACCAGGAGCAGCAGAAGAAGGCCACACAUAAUUGGAAGGCAUUGUUGAAACAGGAUCAGCACCCCCCACAGAACCUCCUGAAUCAGCACGAACAUAAUAGGGUUGGGAAUGCCGGUCAUGCUCAUGACUAAAACGAGGUGCAAAAUCCAAAGGCUGAUCACUAAGAUCAGGACCCAUCACGUAAUGACGCUCUUCCAUCACUGCAGCUUUAUUGGGUGCUGGCAUUAGUUGGGCAUGAUGAUGAUGUGAAGAGUUGGCAGGCAAAGGUGAAGAACCAUAGAACGCCUCAUGUCGAUUCCCAGCCUCUUCUUUACCUGCAAUAGAAG
rnacentral:misc_RNA from 1 species